GUAGGGUGCAAGCGUUAUCCGGAAUCAUUGGGCAUAAAGAGCUCGUAGGCGGUUCAGCAAGUCGGCUGUGAAAUCCCGAGGCUUAACCUCGGAACUGCAGUCGAUACUGCUGUGACUAGAGUCCGGUAGAGGAGAAUGGAAUUCCCGGUGUGGCGGUGAAAUGCGCAGAUAUCGGGAGGAACACCAGUAGCGAAGGCGGUUCUCUGGGCCGGUACUGACGCUGAGGAGCGAAAGCGUGGGGGUAGCAAACAGGAUUAGAUACCCUGGUAGUCCACGCCGUAAACGUUGGGCACUAGGUGUGGCGUUCCGACCAACGGGUGCCGUGCCGAAGCUAACGCAUUAAGUGUCCCCGCCUGGGAGUACGGCCGCAAGGCUA
rnacentral:rRNA from 1 species